rnacentral:lncRNA from 1 species
GUAUAUAGUGGGUGAGUUGAAAAGGCUCAUUAGGCCUAUAAAUAGUGAGGUUGGCUAAGGCCAUGAUACACAAGAGAGAGUGUGUUUGUAUGCUAUUUGUAGGUUGUAAUUCUCAUUUUUAAGUAGUGUAGUACUUAGUUUUUUUUUGAGAGAACCUCUGCCUCUUUCUCUUUGUCAUUUCCCUUUGCAUACUUAGUCGUAGGACGCGAAGGUCCGGGCUAGCAACAGGGACAAAGGCUUGUCCAUCUUCGAGCAGGAAAGGUGGGCGCCGCACGGGCUUUGCGAACGAAAACGCUAAGUCCGUGACA